CAGUUCUCGUCCGAUCACUGAAGUUAAGCAACAUCGGGCGCGAUUAGUACUUAGAUGGGUGACCGCUUGGGAACGUCGCGU
rnacentral:rRNA from 1 species